CUCUCAAACGAAGCUCUCUUCCCCCCAAAAAAACAAAACCUUAGCAGUAGCCUCCACCGCCAUGGCAAGGAGGGCUGUCUCCCACCGUCUGUCGCACCGUUGUCGUUCAUGAGCUCUCCAACUCCUGUUCACUCCAACUCCUCUCAACUCUCACUCUCUCAAGCGAAGCUCUCUUCCCCCCAAAAAGAAACCCUAGCUUACAGUUGCUUCCGUCCUCGUCUGGUCGUCGUCGUCGUGCUCCAAGUCUCCAACUCCUCUUCUCAUUCACCAAUUGUAGCUUCUUUCUCAUUCUCCAAAAAACAGCUGCAGCGGCAAGAGGAAGAGGAGGAAGGCACCAGAGAGUUUAAUGUAACAGGAAUGGAAGUGAUGUCCUCACUCUCAUCCACUCUCUCUUCCAAUUCUGCACCAAAUUGAUUUUUCAUUUUCCCCUAAUAGAUUCUUUUUCCAACAACUUCACUUUCAAAACUUCACCUAGGGUUCCACUUCGCUCUGCCUCUUAGGGUUCAUGGAUGUUGACGUGUAACCACUUAUUGUCGCUGGAUUCGUACAAUCUUAUUGUGGAGGGGCAUAUACGAAAGAUGGCAUUCCGAUAUGCAUACAUUUCACCUUCCGGUUGGUGAGUGUGUCAUCACAUUAGAAGACGUGGCUAUGAUACUUGGUCUUUCGAUUAAUGGUCUUCCAGUUAAAGGAAUGACAGUAAGUAGUUUCGAUGCCCUAGAAGUUGAAUGCUUGGAUCAGUUUGGGGUGGCACCUAGGAAGGCGGAUUGCAGAGGUAGUUUUAUAAAGUUGACGUGACUAUAGAAUCUGAAAGACCGUUUAGUCUUGAAUGAUGAAAUUAAAAUUCAAAGGUACGUAAAGUGCCACAUCAUGUUGUUAUUCAGGACGAUCCUAUUUGGAGACAAGUAUGGGACAGCGGCACACUAGAAAUUUUUGCCUUCACUGCGGGACUUUACUAUUAUCGAUGAAUGCAGUUGGGGAUCGGCUUGCCUGGCACACUUGUUACAGAUCUCUUUGUAGGGCAUCUCAUUUUCGACUAUAAGGAGGUCGAUGGUCCACUAACACUUUUGCUAAUUUGGGCAUGGAUCCAUUUACUAUUUCUUGUGUCGAUUCCUGUCAAUCGCUGACUUUUUCCACUUACAAACAGGAGGUCGUUAGAUGAACUACAAGAAGGCCAAUUUGUAUGGGAGGCUUAUGGUGUUGGUCUAAUUGAGCCAGACGUGAUUUUGGCAGACAUCCUUCAGCAUUCAAUAGUGUAGAGUGCUUUAGUACCGUUGAUAUCAUUUGAAUGCGUUGAGUGACAUGGAACUGACAGGUAUAAGCGACAGUUUGGUUUAAUCUAAGGCGUUCCUCAUCAAGAACGGAAUCUAGACCGAGCACACGAGGAAUUCCUGACUGACCCUAAAAAUCUUGACUGGUCCUCCGAAUAUUCAUUCUGGGUAUUGCAAUGGACGAACCGGUUUAGUCAUGUUCUUACUGAUCUUUCUGUGCAGGCACUGCAUCCCUUAGAGCUUUACAUGUACUAGUACUGUAGAAAAUAUGGCCACCACUUGAACUUGUCCAUUCUUAUGGAGUAGGAUAACUAAGAGGACAAUUCGGUAGGUGAUAAUGAGAAUUAAGUGCCACAGACACCUUUACCACCACAGUCACCCCCCACCACCACCAUCACCCCCCAAAACCACAACAACAAGCCAUGAUAACACAAGAACCAACUCAGCAUUCCUCGAAUCCAUAUAUUCCUCAAACAUAUUACAUACCACAGUCAUACCCAUUAGAUCAGUAAUAUUGGAGUGUUUCACAGUUUGACACAUGAGAUGGAGCUUCAUUUAGUCAGCUACUUGGGUUCAUGGCUUCAUACCAAGGGCAAUCACAAUCUAGCCAUCAGCCUGGUGUGAUUCUGGGUAGGUAUUCUUUGGACUCGAGAAGUCGACAAUGCCUAGGAGCAUGCAACAUUCGAGUGUCCAUCUCAUUCAAGAAGCGUGUCAUCCUUGGGUGGCCUUUGGUAAAUCGUAUGAGGAACGGAUUUGGUACGAAUCAAGGUCUGUGAUAAGUAGGCCAUGUUGCGGGAUUUUCUAGAGGCCUAAACCUAGCUCUGUAUACUUUUCGAACUUGGUCCAUCUUAUAAACUUCAUGAACAUACACUUUCCAAUCUAGCCGCUGAUUCGCACAACAUGCAAAUACAUGUCGACAUGGAAUCCGGUCCACUUGAAAUUCGCCAUAGUCACAACGUUGAUGACGUAAGUCAACAUUGUACUCUAUCCCACCAGGCAUCUCACGCACUUCAAAAACCUAGAUCUGCUUGUCGAAAUAAUUAACCUGGAUGUUCCCUGAUGCACGUUGGUUUGCAUGUAGUUUUGAGGUCACAAGCUCAAAAAAAUAUGACCAGCAUUAAUGUGAGCCUUAGCCUCGACUCUUUUCUUGGUAAACAACUCAUUAAGUCUGUAAAAAGUUGUCUUUACUAGUGCAGUCAUAGGGAGAUUG